AUACGAUGACACCGAAUUAUUCCAUGAAGAAAAUAUGAAAUUAACCUUUCCUAAAACCUAUCAAAAACCUAUCAAAAACAAUAAAUACAACGUUGGAAGAUCUGAGCCUGAGCAAAAUGUUACUACACUUUGGCUAUACUUCAGCAAAAUAAAACCAAAAUAAUUCCAGAAUCUUUAAUUCCUGACCUACACAUCCUACCUAACCCUGCUACCGCGAUCAACUACGUUCCGUCCAUACCAUCAAAUACCAACGAAGACAUUCCUCAAAUCUGCAGGACUUAAGCUAACUGUCAAACCGGAAAGAAAUAAAGAACAACUGGAAUUAAA